rnacentral:rRNA from 1 species
GAUGAACGCUGGCGGCGUGCCUAAUACAUGCAAGUCGAGCGAACAGACGAGGUGCUUGCUCCUCUGACUUUAUCGGCGGACGGGUGAGUAACACGUGGAUAACCUACCUAUAAGACUGGGAUAACUUCGGGAAACCGUAUCUACUACCGGAUAAUAUAUUGAACCUCAUUGUUCAAUAGUUGAAUACGGUUUUUCUUUCACUUAUAGAUUGAUCCGCGCCGCAUUCACUAGUUGGUGAGGUAACGGCUUACCAAGGCAACGAUGCGUAGCCGACCUGAGAGGGUGGUCGGCCACACUGGCACAGAGACACGGCAGAGACUCCGACACGAGGAAGCAGUAGAGACUCUUACGCGAUGGGCGAAAGCUUGACGGAGCAACGCCGCGUGAGUGAUGAACGUCUUAGGCUCGUAAAACUAUGUUAUUAGGGAAGAUGAAAUGUGUAAGUAACUAUGAACGUAUUGACGGUACCUAAUCAGAAAGCCACGGCUAACUACGUG